rnacentral:rRNA from 1 species
AGUGAACGCUGGCGGUAGGCCUAACACAUGCAAGUCGAACGGCAGCACAGUAAGAGCUUGCUCUUACGGGUGGCGAGUGGCGGACGGGUGAGGAAUACAUCGGAAUCUACUUUUUCGUGGGGGAUAACGUAGGGAAACUUACGCUAAUACCGCAUACGACCUACGGGUGAAAGCAGGGGAUCUUCGGACCUUGCGCGAUUGAAUGAGCCGAUGUCGGAUUAGCUAGUUGGCGGGGUAAAGGCCCACCAAGGCGACGAUCCGUAGCUGGUCUGAGAGGAUGGUCAGCCACACUGGAACUGGGGCACGGUCCAGACUCCUACGGGAGGCAGCAGUGGGGAAUAUUGGACAAUGGGCGCAAGCCUGAUCCAGCCAUACCGCGUGGGUGAAGAAGGCCUUCGGGUUGUAAAGCCCUUUUGUUGGGAAAGAAAAGCAGCAGGUUAAUACCCCGCUGUUCUGACGGUACCCAAAGAAUAAGCACCGGCUAACUUCGUG